UCCCUCUCUCUUGACACGAUGGUGAAGAACUCUGGCGAUGAAGAUGACGAUUCAAUAUCAAUCUUCGAUCCACCUCCUUAUAUGUCCUCAAACCGACCAACCGGAGUGAUUUAACCAUCUUCAGCGAGGCGGGAUUGCCACGGCUACGAGGAGGAGGUGAUAUCGGCGACGAGGAGAAGCUAAUACCAGCUGAAGAUCUCCAAUUUUUCAACAAAUCGGAUUUAAUCUUUCUGAAAUCGGUACACAACUAGUUCACGUGAAAGGACUUUGGUUUACGGACACCACAAGGACACAACAAGAGACAAAGCUUGUGUAUGGUUCACAGACACCACAGUUGGAGACAAAGCUUCAAAUCUAUUUACUUUGUAUCAACGAUACUCGAAUGUUUUGCUAUAAAUAUGACAUUCUCUCAUUUGUUCUUACGGAGUCUUUAAGUCAUUCUCUUUAACUCUUUCUCUGUUACUCCAAAAAUACUUUACUGUUUUACAAAGUCUUUAAAUCAAACUCAUUCACCAAACUCA